rnacentral:rRNA from 1 species
AGAGUUUGAUCCUGGCUCAGAAUGAACGUUGGCGGCGUGGAUUAGGCAUGCAAGUCGUGCGAGAAGUCUUUUGCUUGCAUUAGACGGAAAGCGGCGAAAGGGAGAGUAACGCGUGGGUACCUACCUCUAGGUUCGGGAUAGCUGCGGGAAACUGUGGGUAAUACCGAAUAACAUCUCCGGAUCAAAGGUGUGAUUCCGCCUGGAGACGGGCCCGCGUCCUAUUAGCUUGUUGGUGGGGUAAUGGCUUACCAAGGCAAUGAUGGGUAUCGGGCGUGAGAGCGUGACCCGACUCACUGGGACUGAGACACUGCCCAGACACCUACGGGUGGCUGCAGUCGAGAAUCUUCGGCAAUGGGCGCAAGCCUGACCGAGCGACGCCGCGUGCGGGAUGAAGGCCCUCGGGUUGUAAACCGCUGUCAGUUGGGAGGAAAUCACAUGGGGUUCUCUCCAUGUGUUGACCUAUCUUCAGAGGAAGGACGGGCUAAGUUCGUGCCAGCAGCCGCGGUAAGACGAACCGUCCAAACGUUAUUCGGAAUUACUGGGCUUAAAGGGUGCGUAGGCGGCUUCGCAAGUUGGGUGUGAAAUCCCUCGGCUCAACCGAGGAAUGGCGCCCAAAACUGCGGAGCUCGAGGGAGACAGAGGUGAGUGGAACUUGUGGUGGAGCGGUGAAAUGCGUUGAUAUCACAAGGAACACCGGUGGCGAAAGCGGCUCACUGGGUCUUUUCUGACGCUGAGGCACGAAAGCUGGGGGAGCGAACGGGAUUAGAUACCCCGGUAGUCCCCGCUGUAAACGAUGAGCACUAGAUCGAAGGGUCCUCCAUAGCCUUUCGGUCGUAGCGAAAGUGUUAAGUGCUCCGCCUGGGGAGUAUGGUCGCAAGGUUAAAACUCAAAGGAAUUGACGG